AACAAGACAAACCCUAGGUUUCUGUGUCCAACGUUUGACCGUCCGUCUUAUUUGAAAAAAUUAUAAAAAAAAUUAAAAAGACAAGUCACGCAUAAAGUAUUAAUCAUGUUUAUCAUCUAACAACAAUGAAAAUACUAAUUAUAAAAAAGUUUAAUAUAAGACGAAGAGUCAAAUAUUGGACACGAAAAUUUAUGGUUUGUCUUUUU
rnacentral:pre_miRNA from 1 species